GGGGCCGUGGGGUAGCUUGGCUAUCCUCCCGGCCUGGGGCGCCGGUGACCCGGGUUCAAAUCCCGGCGGCCCCACCA
rnacentral:tRNA from 5 species